GUUUAUAAUUAAUUUAAAGUAAAUUAAGAGUUUAUUUAAUUAAAUUUAAUUAAAAUAUUAAUAAUGAUAUAAGUUUUAGUAUUUAUAAAUAAAAUAAAUUAUUAUUUUAAGUGAAUUAGUAUUGUAAGAGAAUAUUGAAAGAUUUAUUAUAUAAUUAUUAUUAUGUAAGUAAUUUUAACUUAGUGUAUCUUGUGUAUCAGAGAUUAUUAAAAUUUAUAUUAAAAUAAUAAUAUUUCUCGAAAUUUAAAGAUUUAAAUAAUUAUCUUAUUUAAUAUGGUAAUAUUAUUAAUAAUUAUUAUUUUGAAAUGAAAUGUUAAUCGAUUUAAAUUAUAUCUAGUUUUUUUAGAAAUAAAUUUAAUUUAGUUAUAUGAAUAGUUAUAAUUUAUUUAAAUUAAAUAUUUUUAUAAUAAUUUUAUAAGGGAUAAUCUUUAUAAAAAAUUUAAAAAUUUUAUAAAGGUUAGUUAAUUUUAUAUAAAUAAAAUUUUUAUUUAUUUUUUUUUUUUAUAAAAUUUUUAAUUUAAUUAAAUUUUAAAUGUAUAAGUUAAUUUUUGUAUAUAAAUAUAAUUUUUAAUUAUAAAAUAUUAGAAAAAAUGAUAAUAUUAGUAUAUAAAAAUUAUAUUUAUUAUAAUAAUAUAUAAUGAUAGGUAAAAUUAAAGAAUUCGGCAAAAUUAUAUAUUCGCUUGUUUAUCAAAAACAUGUCUUAAAGAAUUAUUAUUUUAAGUCUAAUCUGCCCACUGAAUUUAUUUAAAGGGCCGCAGUAUAAUUGUGCAAAGGUAGCAUAAUAAUUAGUUUUUUAAUUGGAAACUAGAAUGAAUGAUUGGACGAAAUAUUAACUGUUUUGGUUUUAUAUAUAAAAUUUAUUUUUUUAGUGAAAAAACUAAAAUUACUUAAAAAGACAAGAAGACCCUAUAGAUCUUUAUAUUAUAAUUAUAAAUUAAUGUUUAUUUUAUAAUGUUAAAUUGGGGUGAUUGAGAAAUUUAAUUAACUUUUUAUAUUUUUUACAAUAAUUAUUGAAUUAUUGAUGUUGAUCUAUUAUUAAGAAUAAAGAAUAAGAUACCUUAGGGAUAACAGCGUAAUUUUAGUUUUAAGUUCGUAUUGAAAUUAAAGAUUGCGACCUCGAUGUUGGAUUAAAAUUAAUUUUAAAUGUAGAUGUUUAAUAAUUAGGUCUGUUCGACCUUUGAAUUUUUACAUGAUCUGAGUUCAGACCGGCGUGAGCCAGGUUGGUUUCUAUCUUUUAGUAAAUAAAAUAAUUUAGUACGAAAGGAUUGAUUAUUUAAAUUUUAUUUAUUAUUAAUGAUUAAAAUUAAUUAGAUAUGUAUAUAUAAUUAAAAAA
rnacentral:rRNA from 1 species